rnacentral:rRNA from 1 species
AACGAACGCUGGCGGCAUGCCUAACACAUGCAAGUCGAACGAGACCUUCGGGUCUAGUGUCGCACGGGUGCGUAACGCGUGGGAACCUGCCCUUAGGUUCGGAAUAACUCCCCGAAAGGGGUGCUAAUACCGGAUAAUGUCUUCGGACCAAAGAUUUAUCGCCUUUGGAUGGGCCCGCGUUGGAUUAGCUAGUUGGUAGGGUAAAAGCCUACCAAGGCGACGAUCCAUAGCUGGUCUGAGAGGAUGAUCAGCCACACUGGGACUGAGACACGGCCCAGACUCCUACGGGAAGCAGCAGUGGGGAAUAUUGGACAAUGGGCGAAAGCCUGAUCCAGCAAUGCCGCGUGAGUGAUGAAGGCCUUAGGGUUGUAAAGCUCUUUUACCCGGGAUGAUAAUGACAGUACCGGGAGAAUAAGCUCCGGCUAACUCCGUG